UCCGAAUUGGUGUAGUGGUUUAACAUUGCCGCCUCUCAUUUGACUUACGUAAUCGAUCCGGUGAUAUUCGCGGCAGCCAGGGGUUCGAUUCCCCUAUUCGGAA